rnacentral:rRNA from 1 species
UACGGAGGGGACUAGCGUUGUUCGGAAUUACUGGGCGUAAAGCGCACGUAGGCGGAUUUGUAAGUCAGGGGUGAAAUCCCGGGGCUCAACCUCGGAACUGCCUUUGAUACUGCAAGUCUCGAGUCCGAUAGAGGUGAGUGGAAUUCCUAGUGUAGAGGUGAAAUUCGUAGAUAUUAGGAAGAACACCAGUGGCGAAGGCGGCUCACUGGAUCGGUACUGACGCUGAGGUGCGAAAGCGUGGGGAGCAAACAGG